rnacentral:ribozyme from 1 species
UGCACAGCUACUCCUAUCCCUACCUCCUCGUGGUACCGGCCGGAAACUACGAGCAACCUUAGAGCAGAUCGGGAAACCAACCCCUGUUGAAACUUUGGCCGUAGGCAGACAGGAAAGG